AUGAACGCUAGCGAUAGGCCUAACACAUGCAAGUCGAGGGGCAGCACAUGAAGUAGCAAUACGGAUGGUGGCGACCGGCGCACGGGUGAGUAACGCGUAUGCAACCUGCCUACAACAGGGGGAUAACCCGUUGAAAGACGGACUAAUACCUCAUAAUACAGGGGUUCCGCAUGGGAAUAUUUGUUAAAGAUUAAUCGGUUGUAGAUGGGCAUGCGUUCCAUUAGCUGGUUGGAGAGGUAACGGCUCACCAAGGCAACGAUGGAUAGGGGAACUGAGAGGUUUAUCCCCCACACUGGUACUGAGACACGGACCAGACUCCUACGGGAGGCAGCAGUGAGGAAUAUUGGUCAAUGGACGCAAGUCUGAACCAGCCACGUCGCGUGAAGGAAGACGGCCCUACGGGUUGUAAACUUCUUUUGUAAGGGAAUAAAGUGACGGUAGCAUAUGAAUAAGCACCGGCUAACUCCGU
rnacentral:rRNA from 1 species